rnacentral:rRNA from 1 species
UACGAAGGGGGCUAGCGUUGUUCGGAAUUACUGGGCGUAAAGCGCACGUAGGCGGAUACUUAAGUUAGGGGUGAAAUCCCGGGGCUCAACCCCGGAACUGCCUUUAAUACUGGGUAUCUUGAGUUCGAGAGAGGUGAGUGGAAUUCCGAGUGUAGAGGUGAAAUUCGUAGAUAUUCGGAAGAACACCAGUGGCGAAGGCGGCUCACUGGCUCAUACUGGACGCUGAGGUGCGAAAGCGUGGGGAGCAAACAGG